rnacentral:pre_miRNA from 1 species
UGGACAGAUUAUUGUAUUCAACUGUAUUCAAGGUGUGAAAUAUGGGAUUGCACUGUUUUUAAAACGGAAAGUGAAUCAAUUAACAUAAUAGACUCCU